AAGGAUCAUUACUGAGAUAGGGUCCUUCGGGGCCCGACCUCCAACCCAAUGUUUAUUAUACCUCUGUUGCCUCGGCGGGUCGCCGGCGUGCCUUUACGGGCCGCCGCCGUCGGCCCCUUAACAAGGGCUCUCGUGUGCCCGCCGCAGGACCUAUUAAACUCUGUUUUUAAACAAGUAUUCUGAGUGGGAAUUAAAUAACUUCAAAACUUUCAACAACGGAUCUCUUGGUUCUGGCAUCGAUGAAGAACGCAGCGAAAUGCGAUAAGUAAUGUGAAUUGCAGAAUUCAGUGAAUCAUCGAAUCUUUGAACGCACAUUGCGCUCCCUGGUAUUCCGGGGAGCAUGCCUGUUCGAGCGUCAUUAUCAACCAUCAAGCACUGCUUGGCAUUGGAUGCCGUCCCCCGUGGACGCGUCUUAAACCCUUUGGCGGCGGUUACAUACCUCAAGCGUAGUAGAAAUCCUUAGCUUUCUAGGUUGUGGCUGCUUUGCCUCGAGAACAUCUCACCUCAAGGUUGACCUCGGAUCAGGUAGGGAUACCCGCUGAACUUAA
rnacentral:rRNA from 1 species